UAUAGUAACGAUAGCGUUGGGGAUACACCUAUAUCCAUACCGAACAUAGAAGUUAAGCCCAACUACGCCGAUGGUACUCGGAGGGUGACCUCCCGGUAGAGUAGGAAGUUGCUAAAU
rnacentral:rRNA from 4 species